rnacentral:lncRNA from 1 species
GGCUGCAACUGGACCCAGAACUAGGGAAGAGGCCAGGGACAGAUUUUUUUUUUUUAUUUUUAUUUUUUUUGCCGAGGGACGUUUCAAAAUUUUGCACGGCCAGGGUGACAAAAAGAGGAUUUAAGAGCCACAAGCGGUCCGCACAUGACCCAGACUUCGUUCCUGUGCGGCUUCCAGAGGUGUUCAUGCAGAAGACUGGAUGCAGGACCCUUGGUGGCACCAGUGUGCAGAUGAGCAGAUAGUGACUGAUUGCCACUGGGGCUAUAACAAAAUAUAAUAAACUGGGUACCUUAGAAGCAACGGAAAUUGAUUUCUCAUCGUUCUAGAAGCUAGGAAGUUCACGAUCAAGGUAGCAGCAGAGUUGGUGCCUGCUCUGGAGGCUGGAAAUCCAACAACAGAGUGCCAGCAUGAUCAGGUUCUGGAGAGGACCCUCUUCCUGUUUGCAGACUGCUGACUUCUUAUUGUAUAUUCCAAUGGUAGAAAGAGAGCAAGAGAACUCUCUGGAGUCUUUUUUUUAUAAGGGUGCUAACCCCAUUUAAGGAGGUUUCCCCUCAUAAUCUAAUUAUCUCUCAAAAGCCAUACCUUUCAACACCAUUGCAUUGAAGGUAUGCUCACUCUUUCACUAACCUUGAGAGACAUUGUCAGAUGUGCAUAAGGGAAGAACAUGAAGGACGACGGAUAAACUGUACACAGACACAGCACAUGGAGUCUGAGUCAUUUGUUUUCUCUGACAGAUCUUUACCAUGCUGGAUUGGAAGAGAAAAGACCAUCACUAAAGCAAAUGGAUCAAAUGGAGUUAUAAAUCAACUCUGUACUCUACAGGAUUGACUCAACUGCAGACAUCUCCAAUACACUCCCUCAUGGCUUUAUUUUUUCUGCUUAUGUGGAAAAAUAACAGUAAAUACAGUUAACUAUCCCAAGACAGAAGAGUAUUAUUAAAAAAGAAUACAACGUUAUUGAUUUUUCAAGACAUAAUCAGAUAUUUUUAAACUCUGAUUUAAUAAAACAUAAUGUAAUUUCUUUUGUGGGAUUUUUUAUGCUUUCCCAAUGUUUAUUACCCUGUGUGUUUCACACUUCAAAAUGAGAGUAUCGUAAUAAGAUCACUUGAGAGGAUCCUGAUCUAAGUUACAAAAUCCCCAUGGCCUUUAUAUCCACAUUGUCACAUUCCCCCAGUCAUCUCUUUCUACUUUAUUGUAUCUAUUACACUUUACACUUAUUUAUGUUUUUCUAUUUACUUUAUAUAUACAAUAUCAUGGGGUACAUAGUGUAAGAGGAAGGAUGGCACUAGCAAGUAUUCCUAAGUUGGUUUAGGGAAUGGGAAUAAGGGUAGGAAGUCAGGAAAGCUUCUUAGAAAGUUAUUAAAGCUUUUUAAAGUA